rnacentral:pre_miRNA from 1 species
CAUCAUGAUAUUGUCCUGUCACAGCAGUACGUUUUCGUAAUACUGCUGGUUCGGGACAUGACCAUGACG